GGAGUGGACUGGAUGGUCGCUGGCCGGGUGCUCGGGGGGCCGCCACAUCGGCCCGCUAAGGGCCCCGGCGAGAGGAAAGUCCGGGCUCCGCAGGACACGGUGAUGGGUAACACCCACCGGCCGCGAGGCCAGGGAAAGUGCAUCAGAGAGUAGACCGCCGAACGGGCAGCCUGCCCGUGCGGUAAGGGUGAAACGGUGGAGUAAGAGCCCACCAGCAGAUCGGGUGACCGGUCUGGCUAGGCAAACCCCACCGGGAGCAAGGUCAAACAGGAAGCAGUGGUGACCGCGCACGGGCACGAUCCCUUGCGGCGGCCCCGCGGGCUGGUCCGGCCUGCUAUCGACUUCCGGGUGGACCGCUUGAGGUGUCGAGCAAUCGGCUCCCUAGAUAAAUGGCCAUCGCCCAUCCAACUCCGGUUGGACGGGUACAGAACCCGGCUUACACGUCCACUCCAAAC
rnacentral:RNase_P_RNA from 2 species